rnacentral:rRNA from 1 species
UACAGAGGGUGCAAGCGUUAAUCGGAGUUACUGGGCGUAAAGAGCACGUAGGCGGUUGAAUAAGUUAGUUGUGAAAGCCCUGGGCUUAACCUGGGACCUGCAAUUAAGACUGUAUGACUAGAGUCGAAGAGAGGGAAGCGGAAUUUCCGGUGUAGCGGUGAAAUGCGUAGAUAUCGGAAGGAACAUCAGUGGCGAAGGCGGCUUCCUGGCUUCAGACUGACGCUGAGGUGCGAAAGCGUGGGGAGCGAACAGG